AGCUCCAAUAGCGUAUAUUAAAGUUGUUGCAGUUAAAAAGCUCGUAGUUGAACUUCUGCUGUGGUGACCUUGCGUGGCUAUGCUUCGUAUGUGUUGCUUCAGCAUUCUCCUUUGUUCUGCACUUUUGUGUGUUGUGCAAUGGGGGCUUUACUUUGAGAAAAAUAGAGUGUUUCAAGCAGGCUGUGCCUUGAAUACUGCAGCAUGGAAUAAUGAGAUAAACCUGCAUUCUUAUUUCGUUGGUUUUGAGGAAUGAGUGAUGAUUAAUAGGGAUAAUUGGGGGCAUUUGUAUUCGACUGUCAGAGGUGAAAUUCUUAGAUUUGUCGAAGACAGACAACUGCGAAAGCAUUUGCCAAGGAUAUGCUCA
rnacentral:rRNA from 1 species